AAAUAUGCAGCCCUAUGAACUUCAUUGUCCCAGUUAUGGGAAAAUGUGGUUAUUAAAUGAUCAUAAACACAUACAGUCACAAAAUACAUAUUUAAAUAUAACCUCAUUCACCGAGUAAACUUUUCUCUUUUCAAAUUGCCUGUCAAGGUACUCUCCUCUCACAUUAGCUUUAGAUUUGAGUGAAAUCUUAACACAAUACAAGUACCUAAUCGACUUUCACUUCAGAAUUUUUCCUUGUUUCUGAGACCCACCGAAGUGACAGACAAAACAAUAGAAUAGAAAAACAUACAAGUUCAAUCUAACUAAUUAUUUUGCCCGAACCAACAAGUAUUCUAGGGUGCCUAUUAAAAAAGUGACAUGCUGUCAAUAUGAUGCAAGGCACCUCAGUACAUAAAGGACCAUCAGAAAUAAGGAAGUAGUUGAAUGAAAGGUUAAAUGCAUGUCACAAACUCAAAAAAAAGAUAGACCAACUACAAAAGGACCAUAUUAACUAGCUAAGAUUACAUAAUGAUAACCCAUUUCCACAUUUCUAUUUCAUUUUAUAUAAAAUUUGCAGGAGUUUCCAAAUUUUAACCUCAUUUAUUCCCACUAAACUGCAAAAGGACCGGACACUGAUAAUUCCAAUAUACAACCAAGCAGUCCAAUUGUUACGUUAUCAGUUGCUAUCAUGCUUGCUCAAUUAACUAAAGAAAUUGCAUAAGUAAACAAUAGCCUUGCAACAUAGCUUGACUUUCACAUCUCUACAAGGUCUUAAUCAAUGAGCAAAAAGAGUAUGAAACUCCAUCAUAAGAUCAUCAGGAGAGAAAUAAUAAGUAACUUCUAACCGGAUGCAUUUAAAUAACUCCAAAGGGCACCAAUGAUAUGAAAAAUUUUGUAAAAUUAUUCGACCAAAACCAUCAUCACCAUCACAAAAAGCUAAUAGCAGCGAAAUGAUUAUGCACCAAAAUGCUUUCUGCCGCAUGAAUUCCCAGUUUACCAAUAAAUUGUCAUCUAAAAUCAAUUGCACAAACCAAGAAACACAUGUUUGCAAACCAAGAAAAAGCCUUCAACUCGAUUGCUCCGUAAGACUCAAGAAAACUAACUAUUGCACAACUUCAACCCACCAAGAAAACUAUCGUCAAUUUAACAUUAAAAAUCGAAAACCAAUAUAAUCCUGCACGUGAUCAUCGAAAUGAAGAAGCGUGGAUGAAAUGUUCCAGCACACGCAAACAACAACACACGAAACCAAAAUUUCGUUAAAAAAAAAAAAAAACAACUCCACUGCAUACGAAAUGGAGAGAAAAGAGAAACCGACGAUCGGAAUUCGAAAACCAACGAGCACUUGCUAGUGUUAUCCAGCCAGUACCAAAUAAAACAGGCACAAUCGAAAAUCAAAUUUCAAAUAUCAUCUGCUUUCUCUCUCUCUCUCUCUCUCUCAUUUACUGAAAUUGAAGCUACAUAAAACUCACUUGAAGCGAAAGAUGACGCAGAGCUUGAGAAAUUCAAUUCGAGGGUUUUUACAUGCCGCAGCCCUUUUUUACAGUUUUUGAGGAGCAAGAAACUCAAGUAGGAGAAGAAAGAGGAGAGGAAGAGAAACGUACAAACAGGGUUCACUGUGUUUCAGGGUCGUAAUUGAA
rnacentral:lncRNA from 1 species